GUCUAUGGCUGCACCACCCUGAACGCGUUCGAUCUCGUCUGAUCUCAGAAGCUAAGCAGGGUCGGGCCUGGUUAGUACUUGGAUGGGAACUAAUCAGAAGGAUCGAAAGGUGAAUGAAAAGGAGGCCAUUUCCU
rnacentral:rRNA from 1 species